GGUAGCUGCAGGUUGAGGGUUGAGCUGCACAGGUUGGAAGUUACUUCUUAAACCUGUGUAAUUUCUCAAAUGCGGCGCUGCAACAGCAACUGUGUGGCUUGAAGUGGCAUUACUAUGACUGAUUUCACGUAUUAUUAAACCACCUUGACUAAUUCUAUCAGAAGGCAAAGGCAGAUGACAGAACGUAUUAACAGUAGGUGGUUGAUCACGUGUUCUCGGACCACCUUGACUGAUUUUAUCAUUAGGCAAAGGCAAUGGAUCGAAUGCAUUGACAGUAGGUGGUUGAUCAGGUAUUGCCAUCUUUUUCGACUUAUCUGCAGGCGUUUUAUAAGUAUUGUAUCCAAAAACGUGGCAGUGGGUAUACCUGUUUUUGUCCAUGACAAGCAGUGGAAUACUCAACCAAAGAUAUUGCGAUUUGGAACCAAAAUAUCAUAUUUGACAAAAUAUUGAGAAAAUGACGGAAUUAGGUUUUGGAGAGGAAGAAGAGACCAGUAACUAUUGACAAUCUUUCUCAACCUAGCCUCCAGCCGCAGAAAUAGAGAAGACCUCUCAAAAUCUUGCUUAUCGUGGGCUGGUUCAAUGAAAUUUGCUUCAAGCACUCCUAGGGAACAGAUUCUGGUUAAUGAGUCUCUCCCCCAGGUCUUUACCCCCCAACAAAACAUAGUUCAUGAAAUCACAAAGGAGAAUGAAUAAUCGUACCCACAACACCAUUGCCUUUUGCUUCCCCUACAGCAUUGACCUUCCAGAAAGGCUGUAAAGGUGCAAGAGAUAUCUCAACUUAAUGCAACACAAAACGCUUAAGUAGCAAAUAUGCUGGCAAAUUAAUCUUUUGAUGUUCUAUUAAGCGAUUGCAUUCUCGUAUUACAAGUCUGAUUUCUAUGAAUUGUAAGGUAACAAUUUUACUACAGCUGCUUCUUUGGAUCAUGACAAUGUCUCCAAUAUGAAAGCGUACCCGAAUGAGACGGUUUUUGUGAUAGACAUUAACACCGCAAACUGCAAGCUUAGGCGCCUCCUUUAUAAAUCCAACUUUGAUUUCAGUGGGAGCCUGUAACAUGAACGCUUACAGGGGGUUUUUUUUUUCUCACAACCUAAACCUAGAAAACUAGAAUAAUGUCUGCAUACGAUAAUCACAAACAUUAUGGGGCUUGUACUUUAUAGCAAAUCAAGUAGCCAAAGCUCCACAACAAAACUAGAGAGUAGAAAAGAAAAAAAGAAGGGGAAGUCCAUUUUAUUUUACUUGUUCAUUUGUAGCGGUAUGGGGCUUGUACUUUAUAAUCUCAGGAACUCUUAAUUCAUCAGCAAUGUUGAACUGCUCCACAGGGCUUCCCCGAAGUAUAAUUUUGAAAUUGUUGAACUUUUUGAGAUAUAACAUUGACGCAUAAGUCUAAAAAUAAAGAGCUAACAAAGUGAAUCAAACAUCCUUGGAACAAAAAUUAUUAGAAAAGGAAGAAGAUAUUAAGGAGAUUACCCUCAGAGAGUAACGUAAGUGGUAUGAAAUAUGAGAUCUUAGUUCUAAUAAUUUAUGGUGCAACCGUUUUCCAUCAUGGACACCUUCAUCUCGGAGCCGGAUGUCCUUUACAAAUUUCAAAGUAUUAAGAUUAGACCUUAGACACCUCUGAAAACAUAUCUCAUAGAGUAUAUCAUAUGAAGAAUGUGUGAGUUACCUCAUUAUCAUCGUCAAAACUCAGCUCAUAGAGACCUUCAUCAUUAAGCCACAAGUUGUAUAUAAUCACUUUUGUUCCAUGUGUUCCAAUAUCCUCAAACUGGUAGGUGGAAGAUGGAAAUAUACGAAUGAAUUAAACAGCCCGCAUUCACAUGGAAUCAUAAUCUUCAGAAUGAAUCUAAGGGAACCGAAGCACAUUAGGACACCAAUCAAGGAACAAAAGUGAUGCAAUGAGAUAUUCAUAAGUUGACUUUAAACCUGCUGCCAAAGUUCAUCCUCUGUUGAAAACGGAGACCAUUUAAGUAAAAUUUCAAGAUUGGCAGCCCAAUCCUCUGGAGAUCCAUAAAUAAUUGGUUCUGGUUGCUCCUUAGAUAAAUCAAUAUCAAUCUGCAUUGCAUAUCUGAUCACUUGAGAACAAAAAAUAGUUGCACAUUCUAGAGUUUCCAACAAUCAUUUAUUUCAGGCAUGAAAUAAAAUCUACAAAUGCUGAAGAUUUUACCAUAGGAACAAUGAUAUCAUCCUGACUAGUUUUUCUGAGGAACGUGUAAGACAGAAGACCAACGCUCCGAGUAGAUUUGCUGAAACAGAAUAGAUAAAAAGGUUAAAAGAAGAGCAUAUGCCAGAUUCAGAGUGUACAAUGUACCAGAUAUAUCAAUACCCUCCACGGUUUGAGCGACUGAAAACAAUAGCAUCAGCUCCAAGUCUCAUGGUACUUGUCUUGAAACCAUUUCCAUCUAAACAAGAAAGGUGAAACUCUGGUUAGAGACCGCCUUUUCGAGACCAAAACACCAAGACCACCCAACCAGAAACAAGCUCAAUAUCUUAUUAACUAAGUCAAAAACUUACACUGUCCAAUCGUCGUAUUAGACUUCUUUGACGAGUAGCCUAAGCUCAUGCAUUUUCUGAGCCCAUCGGGAUCCAUCCCAGCGCCAUCAUCUUCAAGUGAAAAAGAAAAGAAAGACCAUAUCAUAGGCAAUACCCAAAGCCACGGUUAGGUAAAAGCAAUAAAAAAUUCAUACAAAAGCAGUACCUUGGAAAACUAAAGCUGGGGAAUUAUCUUUUGCAAUAUCGAUCUUAUCGAUCUUAACAAACGUAGCACCGUGUUGUAUCUGAGGCAUAAGCAAUUCGAUAUAACCAAGCAUUGUACCAAUGCUUAAAAACAUAAACUUAAAGAAAGCAUUUCACUCCUCACACAUACCUCGUCAACAGCAUUGUCAAGUAGCUCAGCGAUAGCUGCAAUACAUUACAAAGAAAUUGACAAAGAUGAUCAUCACAAAAUUGUUCAUUCUACACCUCGAAAGAGUAAGAAAAUCUUAAAUCUAUCUAACUGGUAGCUGCAACAGAGUCGAUUCACAUAGUUUUACCUCCAAACGCCCAUUUGUGCGAAGUAGCAUUUGAGUGAAGAAACUUUGGAUGAACUCGAGCAUGUUCAAGCAUACCUGUCAAAUACCACAAAUCAUAAUCGUGAUGCAUGCGUGUGUGUGUAUAUGUGAGGAAGCGAGAGAGAGAGGGAGAGAGAGAUGACCUGUAGCAUUUGGAGAAACACCGGUAGGGAUCACAAAGUUUUCUCCGGCCUUCCAGAAGCUCCGGCACUCUAGGGUUUCACGAGGAGCCACCGUCGCAUCCGCGAACGUACUUGGAACUUUCCGAUUCCCCAUUACCGACGACCCCAUGCUUCGAAAAGCUCCUCUUCCUCCCACUACGUCGUCACUGUCACUGUCACUGUCGAGGUUAAUAACAUCAGCCACUGCGUUUUUCGACUUCGGAAGCAUUUCCGGCGACGGUGAAAUCGAUUUUGACAAAACGAAUUUCGAAUUCAAUGAGAAGAACACCGCGCGUUCUCUUUUCCGAUUAAACUACUAAAACAUUUUCUUAGCUUCGACAAGAAGAAAAAGCAAACGUCAAACGUCUUUUCUCAGUCAUCAUCAUCAUCAUUGCUUUGCUUAUUAGUAUCUAAUCGGGCCACAAAGCCCAGUUACGUUACAAGCCCAUGUCCUAAAACUAAUUAACUAUAACUAAACUUAACUAAACUCUGUUGUAAACGUUUUACUAAACUUGCUGCUGCAUCUCCUUCUUCUUAGCAUCCACAAGCAAAGCAAGUUGUGCACAUUUACUUUUCAUUUCUUCCAGUUCUUUUUCCAAGCUCUUUACCUGUUUCAUUAAGCAAUUUAGUAUACCUCUGUUAGAGUCCAUGCAAUAUACAGAUGUUUUGUACUGGAAAAUCAAACUUACCGUCUGUUCUAUUUCAUUCUCUUUCUUUAUAUAUUCAUCGCACCUGUUGAAGCAUAAUAUUCGAUUGAGAUACCCAGAGUGAUAUGAUACUGUAAUGUGUUUUCCUCUUGUUAAGAGCAUAUAACUAUACCUCAUGAAGAGUUGUAAGUUCUCUUCGCUUAUCUCAUUCGCUGACUUGCCAACGAGGUUGUUUCCAGUAUCCUGCCAAGAUUUUUUAGCUUUAGAAAAAACUUUUGAAUCAAAUUACAUCAUCAAACUAAAUUCACUCACGGUAGCUGCAGGAUGAGGGUUGAGCUGCACGCCUUGGAAGUUACUUCUUAAACCUGUGGAAUUUCUCAUAUGUGGCGCUGGAACAGCAACUGUGCGGCUUGAUGUCGCGUUACUAAUACUGAUUUCACGUAUAAUCGGACCACCUUGACUAAAUUUAUCAGAAGGCAAAGGCGAAGGAUUUGAUGUAUUGACAGUUGGCAGUGGAUCAGGUAUCACUAUCCUCUUCGACUUAUCUGCAGGGAUUUGAGGAGUUUGGUAUCCGAAUAUGUGGCAGUGGCUUUGCC
rnacentral:lncRNA from 1 species